UACGUAGGCAGCGAGCGUUGUUCGGAGUUACUGGGCGUAAAGAGUGCGUAGGCGGUUUUCUAAGUUUGGUGUGAAAUCUCCCGGCUUAACUGGGAGGGUGCGCCGAAGACUGGAAGGCUUGAGUAUGGGAGAGGUAAGCGGAAUUCCUGGUGUAGCGGUGAGAUGCGUAGAUAUCAGGAGGAACACCCGAGGCGAAGGCGGCUCUCUGGGUCGUACCUGACGCUGAGGCGCGAAAGCGUGGGGAGCGAACGGG
rnacentral:rRNA from 1 species